rnacentral:misc_RNA from 1 species
GAUGAAGAACGUAGCGAAAUGCGAUAAGUAAUGCGAAUUGCAGAAUUUCCGUGAGUCAUCGAAUCUUUGAACGCACAUUGCGCCCACUGGUAUUCCGGGGGGCAUGCCUGUCCGAGCGUCAUUACAACCCUCAAGCUCAGCUUGGUGUUGGGCCCCGCCGCCCCGGCGGGCCCUAAAGUCAGUGGCGGUGCCGUCCGGCUCCGAGCGUAGUAAUUCUUCUCGCUCUGGAGGUCCGGUCGUGUGCUCGCCAGCAACCCCCAAUUUUUUUCAGGUUGACCUCGGAUCAGGUAGGGAUACCCGCUGAACUUAAGCAUAUCAAUAAGCGGAGGA